UGGGGAAUUUUGGACAAUGGGCGAAAGCCUGAUCCAGCAAUGCCGCGUGUGUGAAGAAGGCCUUCGGGUUGUAAAGCACUUUUGUCCGGAAAGAAAUCCUUGGCUCUAAUACAGUCGGGGGAUGACGGUACCGGAAGAAUAAGCACCGGCUAACUACGUGCCAGCAGCCGCGGUAAUACGUAGGGUGCAAGCGUUAAUCGGAAUUACUGGGCGUAAAGCGUGCGCAGGCGGUUUGCUAAGACCGAUGUGAAAUCCCCGGGCUCAACCUGGGAACUGCAUUGGUGACUGGCAGGCUAGAGUAUGGCAGAGGGGGGUAGAAUUCCACGUGUAGCAGUGAAAUGCGUAGAGAUGUGGAGGAAUACCGAUGGCGAAGGCAGCCCCCUGGGCCAAUACUGACGCUCAUGCACGAAAGCGUGGGGAGCAAACAGGAUUAGAUACCCUGGUAGUCCACGCCCUAAACGAUGUCAACUAGUUGUUGGGGGAUUCAUUUCCUUAGUAACGUAGCUAACGCGUGAAGUUGACCGCCUGGGGGAGUACGGUCGCGAGAUUAAAACUCAAAUGAAUUGACGGGGUCAUAGCUGUUUCCU
rnacentral:rRNA from 1 species